rnacentral:lncRNA from 10 species
UACAAACGUACUCCCAAGGAUAGUCAAAAUCUCCCUGCAAGUAUGCAUCAAAGAAGAGUUGUAAUGUCUGGCGGCGAAGUUCAAGGGGAAAGGUGGAAAUAACUGAGAGGAUUUGGUUUUCCAGUUAAUAUGUGGACCAAAAAAGCACAACUGGACCAAUAUAUAAAAUAAACACACUCCUUUACUACAACAAUUCGGGAAACUAAAUUUUCAAUGAUGGAAGGAAUGGUUAUAUGGUUAAAACCAAAUGCUAAUGUUGGAUACUUUUAUUAAUUCAAUAAAUGAAUAUUCAUUUAUUUAUUUACUGAG